AGCAGCCGCGGUAAUUCCAGCUCCAAUAGCGUAUAUUAAAGUUGUUGCAGUUAAAAAGCUCGUAGUUGAAUUUCGGGAUCAAUACGUCGGUCGUGCUUAGGUACGUACUGGCGUAAUUGAUUUCUCCCUUCUGACGAACCAUGAUGUCAUUAACUUGGUGUCAUGGGAAAUCAGGACUGUUACCUUGAAAAAAUUAGAGUGUUUAAAGCAAGCUAACGCUUGAAUACAUUAGCAUGGAAUAAUGAAAUAGGACGUUCGAUCCUAUUUUGUUGGUUUUUAGGAUCGACGUAAUGAUUAAUAGGGAUAGUUGGGGGCAUUAGUAUUCAAUUGUCAGAGGUGAAAUUCUUGGAUUUAUUGAAGACUGACUACUGCGAAAGCAUUUGCCAAGGAUGUUUUCAUUAAUCAAGAACGAAAGUUAGGGGAUCGAAGACGAUCAGAUACCGUCGUAGUNUUAACCAUAAACUAUUGCCGACUAGGGAUCGGAUGGAUGUUAAUUUUUUAAUGACUCAUUCGCGCCUUA
rnacentral:rRNA from 1 species